GACCUACGGGAGGCAGCAGUGAGGGAUAUUGGUCAAUGGGGGAAACCCUGAACCAGCAACACCGCGUGAGGGAAGACGGUUUUCGGAUUGUAAACCUCUGUCCUCUGUGAAGAUAAUGACGGUAGCAGAGGAGGAAGCUCCGGCUAACUACGUGCCAGCAGCCGCGGUAAUACGUAGGGAGCAAGCGUUGUCCGGAUUUACUGGGUGUAAAGGGUGCGUAGGCGGCUUUGCAAGUCAGAAGUGAAAUCCAUGGGCUUAACCCAUGACCUGCUUUUGAACCUUCAGAGCUUGAGUGGGGUAGAGGU
rnacentral:rRNA from 1 species